AUUGAACGCUGGCGGAAUGCUUUACACAUGCAAGUCGAACGGCAGCACGGGGGCAGCCCUGAUGGCGAGUGGCGAACGGGUGAGUAAUACAUCGGAACGUGCCCGGUCGUGGGGGAUAACGUAGCGAAAGUUACGCUAAUACCGCAUACGAUCUGAGGAUGAAAGCGGGGGACCUUCGGGCCUCGCGCGAUCGGAGCGGCCGAUGUCAGAUUAGGUAGUUGGUGGGGUAAAGGCCUACCAAGCCGACGAUCUGUAGCUGGUCUGAGAGGACGACCAGCCACACUGGGACUGAGACACGGCCCAGACUCCUACGGGAGGCAGCAGUGGGGAAUUUUGGACAAUGGGCGCAAGCCUGAUCCAGCCAUUCCGCGUGCAGGACGAAGGCCUUCGGGUUGUAAACUGCUUUUGUACGGAACGAAAAGGCUCUGGCUAAUACCUGGGGCUCAUGACGGUACCGUAAGAAUAAGCACCGGCUAACUACGUG
rnacentral:rRNA from 1 species